rnacentral:rRNA from 1 species
AGUGAACGCUGGCGGUAGGCCUAACACAUGCAAGUCGAACGGCAGCACAGUAAGAGCUUGCUCUUCGGGUGGCGAGUGGCGGACGGGUGAGGAAUACACCGGAAUCUACUUUUUCGUGGGGGAUAACGUAGGGAAACUUACGCUAAUACCGCAUACGACCUACGGGUGAAAGCAGGGGAUCUUCGGACCUUGCGCGAUUGAAUGAGCCGAUGUCGGAUUAGCUAGUUGGCGGGGUAAAGUCCCACCAAGGCGACGAUCCGUAGCUGGUCUGAGGGGAUGAGCGGCCACAGUGGAACUGAGACACGGUCCAGACUCUGAGGGGAGGCAGAAGUGGGGAAUGUUGGACAAUGGGGGCAAGCCUGAUCAAGCCAGACCGCGUGGGUGAAGAAGGCCUUCGGGUUGUAAAGCCCUUUUGUUGGGAAAGAAAAGCAGCAGGUUAAUACCCCGCUGUUCGGACGGUACCCAAAGAAUAAGCACCGGCUAACUUCGG